AAGCACUUCUGCAAUAAUGCACUAGCUGCAUUCCUUCAGGUCAGUAUGCUAUUGAUAGGGCCAGGCACUACUGCAAUAACUCGCUAGCUGCCUGCCUUCAGGUCAGUAUACAAUUGAUAGCGCCAGGCACUACUGCAAUAAUGCACUAGCUGCCUGCCUUCAGGUCAGUAUACCAUUGACAGGGCCAGGCACUACUGCAAUAACGUGCUAGCUGCACUCCUUCAGGUCAGUAUACCAUAGAUAGGGCUAGGCAUUACUGCAAUAAUGCACUGGCUGCCUGCCUUCAGGUCAGUAUACCAUUGAUAGGGCCAGGCACUACUGCAAUAAUGCGCUAGCUGCCUGCCUUCAGGUCAGUAUACCAUUGAUAGGGCCAGGCACUACUGCAAUAAUGCACUAGCUGCCUUCCUUCAGGUCAGUAUAACAUUGAUAGGGCCAGGCACUACUGCAAUAAUGCACUAGCUGCUUGCCUUCAGGUCAGUAUACCAUUGAUAGGGCCAGGCACUACUGCAAUAAUGCGCUAGCUGCCUGCCUUCAGGUCAGUAUACCAUUGAUAGGGCCAGGCACUACUGCAAUAAUG